rnacentral:rRNA from 1 species
CAAUAGCGUAUAUUAAAGUUGUUGCAGUUAAAAAGCUCGUAGUUGGAUUUCUGGUGGGAGCGAUCGGUCUGGCGCUUAGCGCGAGUACUUGCAUCGUCUCCGGCCAUCCUUGGGGAGAGUCUGUCUGGCAUUAAGUUGUCGGGCAGAGGAUCCUCAUCGUUUACUGUGAAAAAAUUAGAGUGUUCAAAGCAGGCUUAUGCCGUUGAAUAUAUUAGCAUGGAAUAAUAAGAUAGGACUUUGGUACUAUUUUGUUGGUUUGCGCACCAAAGUAAUGAUUAAUAGGGACAGUUGGGGGUAUUCGUAUUCCGUUGUCAGAGGUGAAAUUCUUGGAUUUAAGGAAGACGAACUACUGCGAAAGCAUUUACCAAGGAUGUUUUCAUUAA